GACGAACGCUGGCGGCGUGCUUAACACAUGCAAGUCGAACGGGAGUAUUGAAGAAGCUUGCUUUAGAGAUACUUUAGUGGCGGACGGGUGAGUAACGCGUGAGGAGCUGUCCAAUGCAGGGGGACAACAGUUGGAAACGACUGCUAAUACCCCAUAAGCCGAGAGGUAAAAGGAUUUAUCCGGCAAUGGAGGUACUCGCGUCCUAUCAGCUAGUAGGUGAGGUAACGGCUCACCUAGGCGAAGACGGGUAGCCGGCCUGAGAGGGCGAACGGCCACACUGGAACUGAGAUACGGUCCAGACUCCUACGGGAGGCAGCAGUGGGGAAUAUUGGGCAAUGGGGGGAACCCUGACCCAGCGACGCCGCGUGGGUGAAGAAAUCCUUCGGGAUGUAAAGCCCUGUUGUAUGGGAAGAGCGGAAGACGGUACCAUACGAGGAAGCCCCGGAAACUACGUGCCAGCAGCCGCGGUAAAACGUGCGUG
rnacentral:rRNA from 1 species